GACGUCCCUAGUUCGGAUUGUAGGCUGAAACUCGCCUACAUGAAGCUGGAAUUGCUAGUAAUCACAGGUCAGCAUACUGUGGUGAAUACGUUCCCGGGCCUUGUACACACCGCCCGUCACACCAUGAGAGUUGGAGAUACCCGAAGCCUAUGAGCUAACUUUUAGAGGCAGUAGUCGAAGGUAGAAUCAAUGAUUGGGGUGAAGUCGUAACAAGGUAAC
rnacentral:rRNA from 1 species